GUGCUCCCUUCAGCAGCACAUAUACUGAAACUGGAAGGAUACAGGUAAGGUUAGCAUGGCCCCUGUGCAAGGAUGUCAGGCAAAUUCGUGAAGCGUUCCACAUUUAC